rnacentral:rRNA from 1 species
UUUUUCGGAGAGUUUGAUCCUGGCUCAGGACGAACGCUGGCGGCGUGCCUAAUACAUGCAAGUCGAGCGGACAGAAGGGAGCUUGCUCCCGGAUGUUAGCGGCGGACGGGUGAGUAACACGUGGGUAACCUGCCUGUAAGACUGGGAUAACUCCGGGAAACCGGAGCUAAUACCGGAUAG